rnacentral:rRNA from 1 species
AUUGAACGCUGGCGGCAGGCCUAACACAUGCAAGUCGAACGGUAACAGGGAUCAGCUUGCUGAUUCGCUGACGAGUGGCGGACGGGUGAGUCAUGUCUGUGAAACUGCCUGAUGGAGGGGGAUAACUCCUGGAAACGGUAGCUAAUACCGCAUAACGUCGCAAGACCAAAGAGGGGGACCUUCGGGCCUCUUGCCAUCGGAUGUGCCCAGAUGGGAUUAGCUAGUAGGUGGGGUAACGGCUCACCUAGGCGACGAUCCCUAGCUGGUCUGAGAGGAUGACCAGCCACACUGGAACUGAGACACGGUCCAGACUCCUACGGGAGGCAGCAGUGGGGAAUAUUGCACAAUGGGCGCAAGCCUGAUGCAGCCAUGCCGCGUGUAUGAAGAAGGCCUUCGGGUUGUAAAGUACUUUCAGCGGGGAGGAAGGGAGUAAAGUUAAUACCUUUGCUCAUUGACGUUACCCGCAGAAGAAGCACCGGCUAACUCCGUG